UUUAGUUCGGAUUUCAUCUCUC
rnacentral:miRNA from 1 species